UCGAAAGUACCACUUCUUACUCCGGAUUAUGAUUCUAUAUCUGCCAAUGAGACUUUUUAGAAGAUCCACUUCUCCCAUAUGCUUGUUAUAAAUUUGAACAAUUUUUAGACAAGAUACAAAAGUAUGUUCCUUCCUACGUCUGUCAUAUCUCUUUACAUUGCUUACAGGGUCACUUCCUACAGAUGUGGAUAACAACAUGACUGUCUUGUUGUCCUGCCAGACUACAUUUGAGAUCUCCGUUCCUUCAUAAUUUCCAAUAAAUUCAAGUAUUUUACCCCUUUCCUCUUUACUCAGGGACUUGUCGUCUGGGAAUUUCUUAUUGUGAACUCUAUUUGUGCUAACAGUUCCUAGAGAUAAAAUGCCUCUUCCCUUCAAAUAAUGCAUUAGCGGUAUUGAUAUGUAAUAAUUAUCAAAGUAAAUUUUGUCAUUUACAUUCUCUGAUACAUUCCAGCAUAAUCUAGCAACCACAUUGCUGCUGGCACCAAGAUCCAGCUCUGCAUCAUUCUUGUCCCAUUCAUGUUCAUGUCCUGUACACAUCUCCAUUUUGUAAGCAUACCCAGAUACACCAAAAAGUAAAAACAGUUUAUAGUCACAUUUAUGGGGUUUAUCUGGCAUGUACAUUUUGAGAUGGUGCCUGGCUUUGGUAGCACACAUCUACAGUUAAUCACUCCUCCAUUGGAACUGAAUCAAGUUUUUCAUUCAGGUGCAUAAAAAUAGGUCUUAUCUUUUGGAGCUUGUCUACUCCAUUAGUAUUUGCUAAAUUGUCUUGAAAGUGUAAGAAGCACCUCACUUGCUCAAAUUUAUUGACAGUAAUAUUAUCCUGUACAACUGAUGGGCCUGCCCACAAUGUUAUUCCAAUAUAUCCUCACAUUCUUCAGUGGUACAACAGAAGAGUGGAUACAAACACCUAAAAACUUUAGAAUAUCUUCUACAGUAACAUUGCUGGGCUUCGACAAAUUCAUCUGGGUACUAUAAAGCGUAGAUUCACGUGAAAUCAACUCCUAAAUAUUUUCAUUGAAAAAAAUACGAAAAGAAUUCAUAUGGAGUUUCCUUUGCUAAUAGCUCAUAUAGUAAAGCUUCUUUUCCAAGAAAAGGUUGCUCUACAUACUUCAUCUCUCCUUCCUUCAACAACACAUCUCGCAUUUCUUCAUCUGUGAUGUAUUUUUCUUACCUUGCGCAGAUAUUGCAGCAGAACUGUCUCUCGUAAUUGAAGGUGUAGUUCCAGCUGCAACUACCGAGGUGUCUGCAUUGGUUGACUGCCCAGCUCAAUCAGAAUCAUUUGAAGUCACAUUAGAUUCAAUAAGGUUAACAGUUUCACUGUAUGAUUUCACGAAUUUAUCGCUGGUGUCACAUAUUUCAUCUUCAUCACCACUGUCAUCUUCACUUUCACUCAGAACUGGUAUUGAAAACCAACUUUCUCCUGUCAACUCCUUUAAUCGUCCAUGGUCAUCCACAAAAUAAACUUUUUCAGGAUUCAUGAUACUCAAUCUGAUAAAAGAAAGAACAUCAAUUCACUGAAAUUGCAGAAACUUCAUGAGUGCUGCUGGCAAGCUUUCUAAGCAAGUACUCGACAAGGCUAUGACUGAAUGCAUAGUGUUGCCAAGCGGCAACACGUAAUUUCCUUUACACAGAAACUUACUUUUAAGGAAAAAUUAGUGUUUAACAUGUUCUCUCCUACUAUCAGAUCUCUGUAACAUGAUAAAAUUUUUUUACUUGACAGAAGUUAUGUCAGUUUAUAAUUACAUUAGGCAAUUUAAUGAGUAACAGUGAGUAAAAUUCACUGGAGCGCUGUUUGUUGCAUUUCUCCUCAAUUCAAGACCGUGCUGCCAUGUGUGGAGGAAACGAUCAACUAAAUCCUUAGAAGUUGAGCAUCCCUCAUUUCACUAGCUUUAGACGCCUGUUAGAAUAGACUCCCAUGUAUACAAUAUGCUUGGUGUUGCCAUCUCGCAACAAGAAGUAUGACCGAAAAACGAAACGAAAAUUAGCAUUGCCAAACAGCAAUACCACACAGUGUAAGAUGAAGUUUCUUUCAGUGCGUCUAUGUGGGUUAUUUGUGUUUACGGUGUAUUCUCUUAAGAAAUGGCUUCAGUAUUUAAGUUGCAAUCAUCGGAACCUUUUGUUGGUCAGAAAUUGUGUAGUAACUGUAUUUUAACUUCAGUACCGCUCAAAUAUUAGGUUUCAGUAACAUGUUCCUGCCCGUCAUCUCCAUACUAAUAGUAUAGAGAUCACUGGUUCCUGCACACUUGAAAACGUUUGAAUGUUCAAAAUUACAUCUGUGACCAUAUGUUUCUGAAGUGGAAGUCCAAAGAAGAGACGACUCUGUGAAGCAGCUUUUUGUGUGGUUUAUGGUUUAUAAGCCUACUGGAAAACUCGCCAUGUAAGACAAACGAGUAAUUUCUCAAGCAUGGUACCUCUAUGGUGAUGUGGUAAUCCGAGCAUUGUUAAUAAAGAAAUUAAAUUCAGA